CCUGGUGGCUCAGAGGUUAAAGUGUCUGCCUGGAACGCGGGAGACCUGGGUUCGAUUCCUGGGUCAGGA
rfam:Ovis aries breed Texel chromosome 3, whole genome shotgun sequence.